GCGGGGUAGAGGAAUUGGUCAACUCAUCAGGCUCAUGACCUGAAGACUGCAGGUUCGAAUCCUGUCCCCGCCUA
rnacentral:tRNA from 1 species